AACGAACGCUGGCGGCAGGCCUAACACAUGCAAGUCGAACGCUCCAGCAAUGGAGAGUGGCAGACGGGUGAGUAACGCGUGGGAACCUUCCCUAUGGUUCGGAAUAGCCCAGGGAAACUUGGGGUAAUACCGAAUAAGCCCUUCGGGGGAAGGAUUCAUCGCCGUGGAAUGGGCCCGCGUCGGAUUAGCUAGUUGGUGGGGUAACGGCUUACAAAGGCGACGAUCCGGAGCUGGGCUGAGAGGAUGAUCGGCCACACUGGGACUGAGACACGGCCCAGACUCCUACGGGAGGCAGCAGUGGGGAAUAUUGGACAAUGGGCGCAAGCCUGAUCCGGCCAUGCCGCGUGAGUGACGAAGGCCUUAGGGUUGUAAAGCUCUUUUGGCGGGGAAGAUAAUGACGGUACCCGCAGAAUAAGCUCCGGCUAACUUCGUGCCAGCAGCCGCGGUAAGAC
rnacentral:rRNA from 1 species